rnacentral:rRNA from 1 species
AAUUGACGGGGGCCCGCACAAGCGGUGGAGCAUGUGGUUUAAUUCGAUGCAACGCGAAGAACCUUACCUGGUCUUGACAUCCACGGAAGUUUUCAGAGAUGAGAAUGUGCCUUCGGGAACCGUGAGACAGGUGCUGCAUGGCUGUCGUCAGCUCGUGUUGUGAAAUGUUGGGUUAAGUCCCGCAACGAGCGCAACCCUUAUCCUUUGUUGCCAGCGGUCCGGCCGGGAACCCAAAGGAGACUGCCAGUGAUAAACUGGAGGAAGGUGGGGAUGACGUCAAGUCAUCAUGGCCCUUACGACCAGGGCUACACACGUGCUACAAUGGCGCAUACAAAGAGAAGCGACCUCGCGAGAGCAAGCGGACCUCAUAAAGUGCGUCGUAGUCCGGAUUGGAGUCUGCAACUCGACUCCAUGAAGUCGGAAUCGCUAGUAAUCGUGGAUCAGAAUGCCACGGUGAAUACGUUCCCGGGCCUUGUACACACCGCCCGUCACACCAUGGGAGUGGGUUGCAAAAGAAGUAGGUAGCUUAACCUUCGGGAGGGCGCUUACCACUUUGUGAU